rnacentral:misc_RNA from 1 species
AAAAGUAACAUCUAACUGUAAAUGGAGUGAGGAAUUUUCUCAAGUUUACACCUUUUGAACUAAAUUACUCAUAAACCAGUAUGAAAGACAAAAAUAUCAAGAAAUUGGUGAGGCAAAAGAAAACAUACAAUAUAAUCUCAACUUUUAACAAACUGCAAGCCAUUUGAAUUAGCAUACCGCUCCAUAAAUCUCAUGAACCUAUCCCAGUCUCGUGGAGUCCGCAUAAUAUACUUAGCUUCAAUUCCUGCAGGCUUUCCAUUAACAAACUUAGCAUUGACAUCAACUGACGUUAGAACCCCUUCUUCGUCAAUCAUGUAGAAUCCAGUGAUAUCCCCUACUUCACCAGAUGAAUCAAAUACGGAGGGUUGAUCAAACCUGAAUAUAGCCAUACCAUUUGUUCCAUCCCUUGACUUUGUUAGUUUCACAUCUGGUAUUGUUUGCUCAUCAGUUCCUUGUAUGAACUGAAUUUUUGGUUGAACCAUCACUAUACAUAGUCUGGACAUUUUCUUGUUUUGGAUAUCGGUAGCAAAACGCGAACGGGAUAGGCACAAUCGUUGGCCAUUGAAUGAAGAACCUGAACUUUGAUGAACUAUCCUUGAUGCUAUUCCGAGAAGAGAGCGAGGCUGAUGCGUAGUGUGAGAAAGUGCAGGGGAAAAUGCGAGAGAUUGAAGAGUCGCCAUUAGAGACAGAGAAUGUAGUAUGGAGGAGAGAGAAUAGACUAAAA